GCCGAAAUAUCUCAGUUGUGAGAGUGUUAGACUGAUGAUCUAUAUGUUCCUGGUUCGAACCCUGGUUUCGGCA